CAGUAGCCGCGGUAAAACAGAGGGUGCAAGCGUUAAUCGGAAUUACUGGGCGUAAAGCGCGCGUAGGUGGUUUGUUAAGUUGGAUGUGAAAUCCCCGGGCUCAACCUGGGAACUGCAUCCAAAACUGGCAAGCUAGAGUAUGGUAGAGGGUGGUGGAAUUUCCUGUGUAGCGGUGAAAUGCGUAGAUAUAGGAAGGAACACCAGUGGCGAAGGCGACCACCUGGACUGAUACUGACACUGAGGUGCGAAAGCGUGGGGAGCAAACAGGAUUAGAUACCCCUGUAGUCCCUGUCUCUUAUAC
rnacentral:rRNA from 1 species